rnacentral:rRNA from 1 species
AUUAAACUUGAGAGUUUGAUCAUGGCUCAGAAUGUACGCUGGCGGCACGCCUAACACAUGCAAGUCGAACGAAGUAGCAAUACUUAGUGGCAGACGGGUGCGUAACAUGUGGGAAUCUGCCUUUUGGUUCGGAACAACAUGGGGAAACCUGUGCUAAUACCGGAUAAGUCCUUACGGAGAAAGAUUUAUCGCCGAGAGAUGAGCCCGCACUUGAUUAGCUUGUUGGUAAGGUAAAAGCUUACCAAGGCAACGAUCAAUAGCUGAUUUGAGAGGAUGAUCAGCCACACUGGGACUGAGACACGGCCCAGACUCCUACGGGAGGCAGCAGUGGGGAAUCUUGCACAAUGGAGGAAACUCUGAUGCAGCGAUGCCGCGUGAGUGAAGAAGGCCUUUGGGUUGUAAAGCUC